rnacentral:rRNA from 1 species
UACGGAGGGGGCGAGCGUUAUUCGGAAUCAUUGGGCGUAAAGGGCGCGUAGGCGGCCCCGUAAGUCUUGGGUGAAAGCCCUCGGCUCAACCGAGGAAUUGCCUUGGAUACUGCGGGGCUCGAGGCUGGAAGAGGGCAGUGGAAUUCCCGGUGUAGCGGUGAAAUGCGUAGAUAUCAAGAGGAACACCAGUGGCGAAGGCGAGUCCCUGGACGAUACCUGACACUGAGGCACGAAAGCCAAGGGAGCAAACAGG